AACUCAGUCCCCUGGAGGAGCAGCAGGCACUGACAGGAGCAGACUCUCCUGGUCCACUGUAUUGUUUCUGAGUUUUUGAAUUUCUGAUUUGGGGUGGAGAUUAUGGCUCAGCAGCAGAACGCUUGUCCACCAUGCUUAGCCCUGGGUUGAUCUCUCUGAGGGAGGGGACGGACUUAGUCUCUGUCCCCCUGUUUCCACAUGAUUUUCCCUAGAUAUCCUUUUUUGUUGAUUUGAGUGUGCGAGAAGGGUGUGUGCCGGGUGCUUGCUAGAGAGAGCCCUCACCCGAGGAAGAGGACCUGGAGGGAGGCAGCAGCGGUUAAUGGGUAACCACCAGCUCUCGCCGGGACAAAAACUUUGAUCUGUAGCCUUUGGCUGCUUUCGGUUUGUGAAUGCUUGCGUCUCUGGCUGACUGCUCCAGAACACAGAUAACAGCAGAGAUAGCACAGUAAUAAGGAAAGGCCGGCCUUGAAUUCUCCAUGCAGUGAAGAAUGACUUUCGCUCCCGGGAUUCUAGCUGGUCUCCGGUGUCCUUUCCCCAGGUUUCCGGCAAGCUGGAGAAUGCAGGACUUUCUAUUCCGUGUUUUGUUCCAUAGGAGCCUUUCUCCAGCUGGACAGGAGGACCACAGGUUCAAAGCCUGCUUGGACUACCAAGUGAAUUCUAGGCCAGCCUGGGGGAGUUGGUGGGAUCCUCUGUCAAAACCAAACAAAAUGUGGGUGUGUAGUGCAGUGGCAGAGUCCUUGCUAAGGGUCACAAGGCCCCGGGUUCCAGCCCCAGGAUUAAGAACUAUGUGGACCAAAUAAACAGAAACCUUUCCCAUCCUAAGUCAAAGAUUUUCUUUUAAAAAUUAUUUUUUAAGUGUGUGUGUGUGUGUGU